GCCGGACUGGAUCCUCGCAAGAGCCCUCCUCCGGGUCCUGGGGCGGGGAGAGGAGGGGCGGCAGCCGCCGCGGAGGCAGCCGGCAGGGGCCCUCCCGGGGGCGGCGGCGUGAGCGAAAACCCACCGCGGGCGGCCAUGGCAAGCUGAGUUGGGUGAGGAAGUCUGUCGAGGCAACGGCCGUAUAAACGCUUCAAGCGCGACCGAUAAAAGGAAGCGGCACUGGCUGACUGACGAAGCGGGCGGCUCGGAACAAGCUGUGGACUCCUCCUUUGGGACCGCCCCAAUCAACCGCCAGAGCCCGGCCCGGCCCUGCAGCGGGGAAAGGAGGAGGAAGGGACACAAGCGCCUCUCGGGGCGGGCUGACGGCCCAGCGCAGCCGCUUCGACGCGCCAAACAACCGCCUCAGAGACAGACACGCGGGCUGGCGGGGAACAGUGUCUCUCACAUAGAGGAGAGACAUUCAUCCUCACAUGCAGGUAAGCUUUGUGUUGGCAAAGGCCAGACACUCCACUGCUUCAACCACUGCUGGCCACACACUUCUGAGCACUCUGGCCUUGUGAGAUCACAGCCCAGAUACAUGCAGCUGAAUAAGCUGCUCCUGCACACAGUUCUCCUGCAACCUCCAAAGAGGCAAGGGAUCUCCUCCAUUCCGGAUGCUGGUUAAUAAAGUUUAUG